UACGGAGGGUGCGAGCGUUGUCCGGAAUCAUUGGGCGUAAAGGGCGCGUAGGUGGCCCCUCAAGCGUGCGGUGAAAGUCAGGGGCUCAACCCCUGAUCGGCCGUGCGAACUGGGGAGCUUGAGCACUGUAGAGGCAGGCGGAAUUCCUGGUGUAGCGGUGAAAUGCGCAGAUAUCAGGAGGAACACCGAUGGCGAAGGCAGGUCUCUGGGCCGAUACUGACGCUGAGGAGCGAAAGCAUGGGUAGCGAACAGG
rnacentral:rRNA from 1 species